rnacentral:rRNA from 1 species
GGGGGGGGGGGGGGGGGGGGGGGGGGGGGGGGGGGGGGGUGGGGGGUGGGGGGGGGGGGGGGAGGGGUGGGUAGCGGGGAAAGAACUUGGCUCGCAGGGAGGGAGGAGGUGUGGAGACGAAUGGUAAUACCUGAUAUUAUGAGGAUAUGGGAUCGGAUAAUUAUGAAAGCUAUAUGCGCUGUGGGGGAGCUUUGCGUCACAUUAGCUAGUUGGGGAGGUAGGGGCUCACCAAGGCGAUGAUGGGUAGCCGGCCUGAGAGGGUGAUCGGCCACAAGGGGACUGAGACACGGCCCUUACUCCUACGGGAGGCAGCAGUGGGGAAUAUUGGACAAUGGACCAAGAGUCUGAUCCAGCAAUUCUGUGUUCACGAUGAAGUUUUUCUGAAUGUAAAGUGCUUUCAGUUGGGAAGAAAAAAAUGACGGUACCAACAGAAGAAGUGACGGCUAAAUACGUG